UACGUAGGGCGCAAGCGUUAUCCGGAAUUAUUGGGCGUAAAGAGCUCGUAGGCGGUUUGUCGCGUCUGCCGUGAAAGUCCGGGGCUCAACUCCGGAUCUGCGGUGGGUACGGGCAGACUAGAGUGAUGUAGGGGAGACUGGAAUUCCUGGUGUAGCGGUGAAAUGCGCAGAUAUCAGGAAGAACACCCGUGGCGAAGGCGGCUCUCUGGAACGCAACUGGACGCUGAGACGCGAAAGCGUGGGGAGCAAACAGG
rnacentral:rRNA from 1 species